GAGUCGAUCCCCAUCUCCCUCGAUCCCGCAGGUCUCGUACGGCGCUCCUAUCUCCCUCGAUCCCUUCUUUCCCCAUCGCGCCACCAGGCGCACACACCCACCCACAACCCACCAUCGAUCCCGCAGCCCUUCGGCCCUCCUCUCGCUGACCACCACCGUCGCCUCCCCGAAGGCCACCGGCGCCGCAGCUCUGCCACCUCCUCCCUCACCGGCUUCAAGCCCCUUCUCCACCUCCGGUGCGCCGCUUCCCUCGAUCAUAUUCGUGCAUCUGAGGACGAUGGCGGAAGAAGCGGGUGCCCAGAUGAAGAUCGUCUGGCUGUGCAGGCGGGCAGACGACGCAACUGAGGUGACGGUGACAAUCGGACUCAUGAGGAGCAGCGGCGGCGUGGAUCUCAUCCUGCAGGGGCGGGGGGUGGGGUGGUGUGGGCGCCAAGGAGGCUGGGCAGGAGCCUCCUGCAGUGGAGGACGAGGAUGGAGUAUGGGAGGGAGCCUCCUGCAGUGUACGUAUGGCGAUGAAGGGGAGCAGUGCUCGUCCUCAGCGGACCCAGAUGACCCUUGCUGGCGGGUGAGAUUCCUCUUGAGACCUACGGUGACGGCAAACGGCGGCAGCGGAUUUGAAGGUGACGGUAGGAGAUCCGUGACAGAACAUGUGCAAGCUCAUGGUUUUAUGCCAAUUCAUCCUUCAAGACAAGUAUUAGGAGUGUGGUAGCACAACCUAGGCGUGUAGGCGUGUAGCUGCAUACAUGUGACGGGAAAUAGGGAGACAGCUUCGGCUUGGAUAUGCUAUUAUGCCUUUCAGAGUCUACAAGAAUUGGAUGCAGAUCCACUAUCCCCCCACCCCCACUGUAUUUACUGCAAUGCAUAUUUACCUGGAGCUCGCAUCUCAGCUGUAUGUCAAGUGCCAAGUCAGUUUUCACUAAAUACAAAUUUUAAUAUAUACUGGUUGUAUAUUUAUGGAUUAUAGUUGAAAUUCUCAAAUGGAUAAAUAUUUUUGUAGUUGUAGUCCUAUAUACAACUACCUAAAACUGAGGUUGGCACAUCUUCAUUAGAAGCUAUGCUCACUAGCUUGAUUUCUCCUAGAGUAGAAUGUUUAUUCCCGCAAUGUUAUUUUGCAAUUUCCUUUUUUGAUGUAGCUGCUUAUCUAUCAAGUUUAUUUAGCAAAGUGUCUAUGAAAGCGUGCAGUUCAAAUAAUCGGGUUAUGUUACUCCUACUAAGUAUCCUAUAAAUGAUCUGAAUGAACACAAGUGAUGGCGUUCGUCGGACACGGUGCCCAAGGCGUAGACUGAACCCUUCUAAGGAGGCAUGUGGGGAUGCGUGCAAGACAUGCCCUCAUUCUGUGAAACAAAGUCAAAUGCAAAUGGGAGUAUGAGAGAUGGUGUAUGUUGUGUUGGAAAUAUGCCCUAGAGGCAAUAAUAAAUUGGUUAUUAUUAUA